rnacentral:rRNA from 1 species
GACGAACGCUGGCGGCGUGCCUAACACGUGCAAGUCGCACGGGGUAGCAAUACCCAGUGGCGAACGGGUGCGUAACACGUGAGGAACAUACCUAUCGGCGGGGGAUAGCCGGCCCAACGGCCGGGUAAUACCGCGUACGCUCUCCGGGGGGCAUCUCCUGGGGAGGAAAGCAGCAAUGCACCGAUAGAGUGCCUCGCGGCCUAUCAGCUAGUUGGUGAGGUAAUGGCUCACCAAGGCGACGACGGGUAGCUGGUCUGAGAGGAUGAUCAGCCACAUUGGGACUGAGACACGGCCCAGACUCCUACGGGAGGCAGCAGUGGGGAAUCUUGCGCAAUGGGCGAAAGCCUGACGCAGCGACGCCGCGUGUGGGAUGAAGGCCUUCGGGUCGUAAACCACUGUCGCGAGGGACGAAUACAUUGACGGUACCUCGAAAGGAAGCACCGGCUAACUCUGUGCCAGCAGCCGCGGUAAUACAGAGGGUGCGAGCGUUGUACC